rnacentral:misc_RNA from 1 species
GUGAAUCAUCGAAUCUUUGAACGCAAAUUGCACUCUCUGGUAUUCCGGAGAGUAUGCCUGUUUGAGGGUCAUUUGAAAUAAAAAUCGGUGCGGUUGCUGUCGUUCUUGGUGAUGGGUUGGCUUUGGUUCGUGGUGGCUUCGGUUAAGUGACCUAAAAUUUUUCAUGGUUUUUUCGAUCGUUUUUAAUUGCCCUUACGUACGUUAG